rnacentral:rRNA from 1 species
UUCCGGUUGAUCCUGCCGGAGGCUACUGCUAUCGGGGUUCGAUUAAGCCAUGCGAGUUAAAUGUUCUUCGUGAACAUAGCGAACUGCUCAGUAACACGUGGAUAACCUACCCUUAGGACCGGAAUAACCCCGGGAAACUGGGGAUAAUACCGGAUAAGCCAUAGACGCUGGAAUGCCCUAUGGUUCAAAGCUCCGGCGCCUAAGGAUGGAUCUGCGGUCUAUCAGGUUGUAGUGGGUGUAACGUACCUACUAGCCGACGACGGAUACGGGUUGUGAGAGCAAGAGCCCGGAGAUGGAUUCUGAGACACGAAUCCAGGCCCUACGGGGUGCAGCAGGCGCGAACACUUUACAAUGCGGGAAACCGCGAUAAGGGAACCCCGAGUGCCAGCAUCAAAUGUUGGCUGUCCGGAUGAUUAAAAAUCAUUUGUUAGCAAGGGCCGGGCAAGACCGGUGCCAGCCGCCGCGGUAACACCGGCGGCCCGAGUGGUAGCCGUUUUUAUUGGGUCUAAAGGGUCCGUAGCCGGCCUGAUAAGUCUUUUGGGAAAUCUGGCAGCUUAACUGUCAGGCUUCUAAGGGAUACUGUCAGGCUUGGGACCGGAAGAGGUAAGGGGUACUCCAGGGGUAGGAGUGAAAUCUUGUAAUCCCUGGGGGACCAUCUGUGGCGAAGGCGCCUUACCAGAACGGGUCCGACGGUGAGGGACGAAAGCUAGGGGAGCAAACCGGAUUAGAUACCCGGGUAGUCCUAGCUGUAAACGAUGCUCGCUAGGUGUCAGACACGGUGCGACCGUGUUUGGUGCCGCAGGGAAGCCGUUAAGCGAGCCACCUGGGAAGUACGGUCGCAAGGCUGAAACUUAAA